GACGGACCGAGCGAACGUUGUUCGGAAUCACUGGGCUUAAAGGGCGCGUAGGCGGGUAUUCAAGUCUGUGGUGAAAUCCGGCAGCUCAACUGUCGAAUUGCCGUGGAUACUGGAUAUCUCGAGGGAGGCAGGGGUGCGCGGAACUAAUGGUGGAGCGGUGAAAUGCGUUGAUAUCAUUAGGAACACCGGUGGCGAAGGCGGCUCACUGGCUCAUAUCUGACGCUGAGGCGCGAAAGCGUGGGGAGCAAACAGG
rnacentral:rRNA from 1 species